UUGGAGGGCAAGUCUGGUGCCAGCAGCCGCGGUAAUUCCAGCUCCAAUAGCGUAUAUUAAAGUUGUUGCAGUUAAAAAGCUCGUAGUUGAAUUUCGGGGCUAGUAGGUUGGUCGUGCCACUGGUAUGUACUGGCUCUACUGAUCCCUCCUUCUUGUAGAACCGUAAUGCCAUUAACUUGGUGUUGCGGGGAAACAGGACUGUUACUUUGAAAAAAUUAGAGUGUUUAAAGCAGGCUAACGCUUGAAUACAUUAGCAUGGAAUAAUGAAAUAGGACGCUCGAUCCUAUUUUGUUGGCUUCUAGGAUUGACGUAAUGAUUAAUAGGGAUAGUUGGGGGCAUUAGUAUUCAAUUGUCAGAGGUGAAAUUCUUGGAUUUAUUGAAGACUAACUACUGCGAAAGCAUUUGCCAAGGAUGUUUUCAUUAAUCAAGAACGAAAGUUAGGGGAUCGAAGACGAUCAGAUACCGUCGUAGUCUUAACCAUAAACUAUGCCAGCUAGGGAUCGGAUGAUGUUAAUUUUUUAAUGACUCAUUCGGCGCCUUACGGGAAAC
rnacentral:rRNA from 1 species